rnacentral:misc_RNA from 1 species
GAUGAAGAACGCAGCGAAAUGCGAUAAUUAAUGUGAAUUGCAGAAUUCAGUGAAUCAUCGAGUCUUUGAACGCACAUUGCGCCCCCUGGUAUUCCGGGGGGCAUGCCUGUCCGAGCGUCAUUGCUGCCCUCAAACACGGCUUGUGUGUUGGGCUUCCGUCCCUGGCAACGGGGACGGGCCCAAAAGGCAGUGGCGGCACCAUGUCUGGUCCUCGAGCGUAUGGGGCUUUGUCACCCGCUCCCGUAGGUCCAGCUGGCAGCUAGCCUCGCAACCAAUCUUUUUAACCAGGUUGACCUCGGAUCAGGUAGGGAUACCCGCUGAACUUAAGCAUAUCAAUAAGCGGAGGA